rnacentral:rRNA from 1 species
GCUAGCAGCCGCGGUAAUACAGAGGUCUCAAGCGUUGUUCGGAUUCAUUGGGCGUAAAGGGUGCGUAGGUGGCGAGGUUAGUCGGAUGUGAAAUCUCCAAGCUCAACUUGGAAACUGCAUUCGAUACUGCUUUGCUAGAGGAUUGUUGAGGGCAUUGGAAUUCACGGUGUAGCAGUGAAAUGCGUAUAUAUCGUGUGGUAGACCAGUGGCGAAGGCGAAUGCCUGGGCAAAUCCUGACACUGAGGCACGAAGGCCAGGGGAGCAAACGGGAUUAGAUACCCCGGUAGUCCUGGCAGUAAACGGUGCACGUUUGGUGAGGGAGGAUUCGACCCCUUCCGUGCCGGAGCUAACGCGUUAAACGUGCCACCUGGGGAGUACGGUCGCAAGAUUAAAACUCAAAGAAAUUGACGGGGACCCGCACAAGCGGUGGAGUAUGUGGCUUAAUUCGAUGCAACGCGAAGAACCUUACCUGGCCUUGACAUGCAUCUCUAAUCCUGUGAAAGCCGGUGAGUGUAGCAAUACACAAUUUGCACAGGUGAUGCAUGG